rnacentral:lncRNA from 1 species
GCCAUCUCAUAAGUUGGCAGAACGUACUGUGGAGGUGCUUCAAAAGCAGGGUACACUGCUAUCUCUGGCAAAUUUCUGUUGCUGAUGUAUUUGUAGCAGUUCCAUACACAGUUGAUUAGGUACGCCUUUAAAAUGAUAAAUAAAGCAAAGAACACCAGAACAAUGAACAGAAGACAGCUGGAAUCCAGUGAAAGAAGAUCAUCUUUAUAAGGGAAAUCCGGCAACUGAUCCAAGUAAUCCUUGAUCCUUGGCAAGUAGGUUAGAGAACUGAUUGCAACCAGACAACUGACCACAAAGUCAAAGAGUUGGUAACAGAAAAAUGGGAUCAGCCAACCUACACGGUGAGCAAUUGCACCGUACACCAUCAUUGCACUGAUUGUGAACAUGAGGAGGGAGAUGGCAAAUAGAACACAGGCAUUUUCAGCCAUUCUCUCAGAAGCAUAGUAAUUUCCAAUGACUUCAUACUGGAUAUUAACAGUUGGCACUACGUUUGGAUGAGUCACUUCUACAGUCAACAAGAUGCCCAUCAGCAAGUUCACCACCAUGUACCAGGUCCCCAAAAUUAUGGUGCCGGUCCGCACAUGGCAGCAACCACAACAGCGAGUACUGUAAAAACGGUCGCGGCUUCGCUUGAACGUCAUACUGGCAGCUGCUCCGCCGCACUCCCUCCGCCGGCCGCCUUCCUCCGGCCUCGCCGCUCGCCGUCUCCCAGCACUUCCCCUCAGCUGAGGGCCGUAAAACCCCCGCUCUCGCGUCACCGCCGUUCUGGCCAAUCGGAUGUCGACAGCGGGGGCGCGAAGGGGUGUGCUCGAGGGAGGGCCUACGGGUUGCCGCGGCAACAGCGGAUUGGCAGCGCCGCGGGCCAAUCGCAGUGCCCUAAGUGCAACGCCCUGCCGUUCACCUGCUUGGCGGCGGGGUGGGGCUCACCUGAGGCGAGGUGCGGUAGGGGCUGUCCGGCGUCCGCCAUCUUGGGGAGGAGCUGCCCGCCCUCACCUCAGCGCUGAGGCAGCCUGCCGUGGCGGUGGGUGCUGUGUUGUCUGUGGCUGGUGCUUGGGGCGCUUCCUCCUGAGGACCAGCGGGGACAGCCAUAAAACAUUACGAAGAAAAUUUUGCAGACAGCCCUUUGUUAUAGAGGGAAAGCGAAGUCACUUCAGCGGACCUCAAAGCACCCAAAUCCCACACAUUCUACUGAAAUUCAGCUAGUGUUGUUGCAAGUCUAAUUCACUUAAACCCUUUUGCUGCUCUUUUAGAGCAAAUCCUCGGUAUUAAUAUUGUGCAUUACGUGGUGAGAGGAUGCAUGAGCACAGUGUGAAUGGAAGAGUUGAGCUUGAGUUCACACAUGCUUUAAUUUUUUAUGAGUCCCACAUCCCUGUUCCUCGGUGGUGACAACCCUGCUAGUCCCACUGAAAGCUGCAGGUGCUACCAAAUGCAUGUGUUAAUUAGAAGUAAUGUAUGUAAAUUCUGAGUGCUGCAUGUGUAUGUGUGAGAGAUAAGGAGUGCUCCUGUUCCCAUAGAGAGGGGCACCCGUAACCUUCCCCUGACCCGAGCACAGCCGCGGGUUUGCAGACCUGCUCUGUUGAUACAGAUACGUACACGGUUUAUUUUAACCUUAGUGCAGCUGCAAGUAUUUCCUUCUUGGCUGUAUACAACUGUUUGGAGACACUCGUAGAACAUAAAUAUUUGCUGUGUGUAUAUACACCAAGACGUAUGUUAUCUGUCAGUAUUAAUACUGGUUGCUCGUUCUGAACAAUGAGAAGGUAACAAGGGUGACUAGUUCUCCCGUUGAUACAUUCCAGAUCCUACAAUUAACACGUUUUAUUGUUUGAGCUACUUAGUCUAUUUUUAAACAUGAACUGUUGCUGAGUUGUUUGAAAUGAUUUACUUAAAGGCUUUAGAACUGACCUUUUUUUAUUUUAAAUCCCCCAUGUUCCAUAAUCGGUGUUUUUCUUCCUUAGGGCACAUUUCAUUUUUGAAUAAACAUGUUGUAAGUGCUGCUAAGACUGUUCUAA